rnacentral:misc_RNA from 1 species
GAGCGGGAGGCAAGGCCAUCAAAGCAGCAGAGCGGGAGGCAAGGCCAUCAAGGCCUUGGCACCAAGAUUCAUCAUUGGAACCAACCAGAGGAACCAGACCCGGUAGUACCCGUCCAUCAUCCAUCUCUCAGUAUCCUAGCAAACUAUCAAGCCACAAUCACAUACAAAAUGCACAUUGAAUAGAGUACCUUAACCUUGUCAACCUUUAUGCCUGGAACAAUGUUUUGCUCGACAAGCACAUCAACCAUCUUCUUUCCAUCGGUGGUAGAUUGGUAGAGAGUCUCCUCAAAGAGAAUAGCACUAGAAACACAUUGGCCAAGGCCAGGGGCAUGGCCAAGACUCCACGGCCUGGAGAUGCAAUAGUUUUCGCAGUCUUGACUAGCUCAUCAGCAUAUGAGCUAGAACGGACGCAGAGGGCAGACGACGCAACAGGGUGACACCUAACCAUAAAGGCAGAAGGUUGGCGAAUAGCCUGACCCUUGCCACUCUAACUUGUCUAGAACAGGUGAGGUUUUAAGGAGAGAAGCAGAGGCCAUCUCUGUAGGAGUAUUAAGGCUUUGGGGUAUGUCUUCUUUCCCUUGAGCUCAGUGGGGCUGUAUUCAACGCAAACACAUUGCUCUAUUUCACAACAUUUAUAAUUGUAAAUCCUUAGCCAUGAUAUCUCAUUUGGGGCUGUAGUGCAAUG